GUCUGUUCCCACUCUCCCUCCCCCCGAAGCCUUCUCCCCAAAGUCCAUGGCGCAGUAAUGCCUGGGCCUGACACUGGCAGAGAACCCAGUCGUAGCGGCAUCUGACCCAGCUUCUGGGAGGUUCAAGGAACAGAAUGACUCACCACACUGUGUGCUGUGUCAUCGGGAAAGAGGGAGCCUGAGGAGCAGAGAUAGACUGGGACUCAGUUUCUGGAUUUUGACCUCUGCCGGCUCACUGGCUGUCUCUACAUGGGGCUGCAUUUUGACUGGGGUUUAUAGGAAAUAGUAAAGCCUUCAUUAUUACUAAAAACAAAAUGAAAUUGUCAAUCUGUCCAGAGGUGUUUGCCAUAUAAAUACAGAAAACAAUUCUCAUGAUUUCCUUGGCCUUCGUGGCUGUGCCCAUAGGGUAAGUAAGCACUUUCUCAAUGAAGGGGCCAUUUUGAAAUUCCUUCCACAGAAGUCUGGUAUUCAUUCUAAAUGGACCUGGAGGCUGAGGAGCCCUGGAGUGGUUCCAGCUGGUUCAAACUCUGCCAGAAGUCAUUGCCUGCCAACAGCCUACCACAGUCUUGGGAAUGAACUCCAACAAAGUUACCAUCAUGACCGCUGAUGCAUCCCAUCAAGGAUGGAAGAAUGGGCUCCAAAUGCUGUUGCACUAUUCCUGAAAGUAAGAUAUGCAGUUCAGCACUUUACCUUGGAAGAGAAGUGCAAUGAAGUUUAACUGUAAAGACAGUCAAACUUUAUCACCAAGAUGACAGGACCCCAACUCUGAGUGUGGCAAGGCUGUUGUAAUGAUGAGUGAAGGUGACGUAUGUCCUACUGAGCGUGAGCUCCUUGAUUUGAAAACAAAGGGAACAAAUUGAUAUCGAUAAAACCCUAAGAACUUUGGAAAAUCUUGCUGUUUCUGCAUCAAUACUCUCUACUUGGGAUGGAUUUAGCUGAGAAACCCUGAUACUG